CCCACACCGAAGCUCCCACAGUCAAAACCUUUAUAUCCACAUGUUGUUCACGGUAGCGUUUUGAAUACUUGCUUCGCAUUGUGCCGGCGAAACGCACAUUUCUUGCCGCGUUGUGCCGGCGAAAUGCACACUUCUUGGACCCCUGCAUAACUGCUUGCAGUUCUAGUUAGGGGUCCAAGCCAACAGGUUGGAUCCCUAUUGUUUUUGUAAGGAUUUUUAUUAUACUUCCCAUCUAGAAGUGGUACCACAGCCCAAACCGUAAAUGGUGCACACGCGCCAAUUGCAUCACUUGAUCCAGGUCCGUGAACACUACGCAGACGACAAAAUCCAGACAUGCCGGCCACUAGGUGGCGCUAUACCAAGGAAUACGCG
ensembl:lncRNA